rnacentral:tRNA from 1 species
GAGGAUGUAGCUCAAUGGCACAGUGCCUGCCUGGAAAGCAUGAGGUCCUGAGUUCGAUCCCUGGUACCCCCC